UUCCACGUCAGAUUCCAAUGACGUCUUGCACCGUUGUUGCUUUUUGCUGAAGUCGUGUUCUGUCUUCUGUAACUGACAAGUUAUUUUGGUAGUUCAAGCAGAGAAAAAUGGCUAGUAAAGUAGAAAAGAGAAAAGUAUCUAAGGCAAAAGAAAAAAGAUUACUUCACAGCAUCCAAAGCAGUUGACAAACUGUUGACGUCACCCUGGAGCUCCCCAGGAACAAAUAAAGAAGAACCCCUUUUCACUACACGAGAAUCAGUGGUUCAGUACCUUGACCUAUUAUUGAGGAAAAUAUUCUUUCAUAGAGCUAGAAAAAUACCAGUUUCUGAACAGGAACAGAAAGCUCGUUCAAAAAAAAAAGAAAAGAAAAAGGAAAAAGAGGGUGGUGGAAAAAAAUGAUGGAAAUGAAAUGAAAUUCUGACAUUUUUUUCAGGUUCACGUGUACCAUUUGCUUACUCAGAAGAGAUUUGUUAUAAGCUGACGUUGACCCUACCUGCGGCGUCUUUGGAAAAGGAAAAUGAUUUCAUCGGCUUAACCGGAAUUCUGGAGGAAAUGGAAAUCCUAUAUUACAGUCCUUGUUACGUCUUUCACUUUCAUACACCAAUCUGCAUUUCUGACAGCAUUUUUCUUGACCUUACUUCCAAACUUAAGCAUUUUGCUUGAAAGUUGGAUGUUGUUGUUGCGGUUCGUCAGGUACCAGGAGAACGUAAAGGUGGUUUCCAUUACGUGACAGCGGACAACUUUAUAUUCCAUCGCUAUAAAAGAAGUCCAAAUAUUUCUGAUGCCGAAAAUAUGAAUCUUUUG